rnacentral:lncRNA from 10 species
GUUUCACCAGCACAAGAGGUAAAGAUUUUAUAUGUCAGUGUUUCCAAUCCACUUCAAAAUUUCUCAAAGCAAUGACAGUAUGUAAGCAUCAAUGGAGCUCUAUCGUUUGGAGAUCACAAGUCUGGACAUUUUACUGUCUUCUAGAUUCAUUUCAGCACUCCCAGAGUAUUGGAGGAAACAAAAUUGUAAAUAAACUGAAGAACCACUGUGGUGACGCCAUGCACCUUUACAGACAAGGAGGAGAGUUAUUCAACUGCCACUGAACAACUCUGGCUGCAACACAGCUGCUAAGAGUUCUUUAUGUCGGCCGGGCGCGGUGGCUCACGCCUGUAAUCCCAG